UAUUGCCUCUCUACUCUAAGCAUCAGGUAACAUCAAAUCGUACCCCAAACCGACACAGGUGGUCAGGUAGAGAAUACCAAGGCGCUUGAGAGAACUCGGGUGAAGGAACUAGGCAAAAUGGUGCCGUAACUUCGGGAGAAGGCACGCUGGUGUGUAGGUGAAGUCCCUGCGGAUGGAGCUGAGACCAGUCGAAGAUACCAGCUGGCUGCAACUGUUUAUUAAAAACACAGCACUGUGCAAACACGAAAGUGGACGUAUACGGUGUGACGCCUGCCCGGUGCCGGAAGGUUAAUUGAUGGGGUUAUCCGUAAGGAGAAGCUCUUGAUCGAAGCCCCGGUAAACGGCGGCCGUAACUAUAACGGUCCUAAGGUAGCGAAAUUCCUUGUCGGGUAAGUUCCGACCUGCACGAAUGGCGUAAUGAUGGCCAGGCUGUCUCCACCCGAGACUCAGUGAAAUUGAACUCGCUGUGAAGAUGCAGUGUACCCGCGGCAAGACGGAAAGACCCCGUGAACCUUUACUAUAGCUUGACACUGAACAUUGAGCCUUGAUGUGUAGGAUAGGUGGGAGGCUUUGAAGCGUGGACGCCAGUCUGCGUGGAGCCAACCUUGAAAUACCACCCUUUAAUGUUUGAUGUUCUAACGUUGGCCCCUGACCGGGGUUGCGGACAGUGUCUGGUGGGUAGUUUGACUGGGGCGGUCUCCUCCCAAAGCGUAACGGAGGAGCACGAAGGUUAGCUAAUCCUGGUCGGACAUCAGGAGGUUAGUGCAAUGGCAUAAGCUAGCUUGACUGCGAGCGUGACGGCGCGAGCAGGUGCGAAAGCAGGUCAUAGUGAUCCGGUGGUUCUGAAUGGAAGGGCCAUCGCUCAACGGAUAAAAGGUACUCCGGGGAUAACAGGCUGAUACCGCCCAAGAGUUCAUAUCGACGGCGGUGUUUGGCACCUCGAUGUCGGCUCAUCACAUCCUGGGGCUGAAGUAGGUCCCAAGGGUAUGGCUGUUCGCCAUUUAAAGUGGUACGCGAGCUGGGUUUAGAACGUCGUGAGACAGUUCGGUCCCUAUCUGCCGUGGGCGCUGGAGAAUUGAGGGGGGCUGCUCCUAGUACGAGAGGACCGGAGUGGACGCAUCACUGGUGUUCGGGUUGUCAUGCCAAUGGCACUGCCCGGUAGCUAAAUGCGGAAGAGAUAAGUGCUGAAAGCAUCUAAGCACGAAACUUGCCCCGAGAUGAGUUCUCCCUGAGACUUUAAGUCUCCUGAAGGAACGUUAAAGACGAUGACGUUGAUAGGCCGGGUGUGUAAGCGCAGCGAUGCGUUGAGCUAACCGGUACUAAUGAACCGUGAGGCUUAACCUU
rnacentral:rRNA from 1 species